CCUUAAUACCGGAUCCGUCCUACGGGAGAAAGGGGGCUCCGGCUCCCGCUAUCGGAUGAGCCUAUGUCGGAUUAGCUAGUUGGUGAGGUAAAGGCUCACCAAGGCAACGAUCCGUAGCUGGUCUGAGAGGAUGAUCAGCCACAUCGGGACUGAGACACGGCCCGAACUCCUACGGGAGGCAGCAGUGGGGAAUAUUGGACAAUGGGGGCAACCCUGAUCCAGCCAUGCCGCGUGUGUGAAGAAGGCCCUCGGGUUGUAAAGCACUUUCAGCGAGGAAGAACGCCUAGUGGUUAAUACCCAUUAGGAAAGACAUCCCUCGCAGAAGAAGCACCGGCUAACUCCGGGCCAGCAGCCGCGGUAAUACGGAGGGUGCAAGCGUUAAUCGGAAUUACUGGGCGUAAAGCGCGCGUAGGUGGCUUGAUAAGCCGGUUGGUGGAAAGCCCCCCGGCUCCACCUGGGGAACCGGCAUCCCGGGACUUGUCAAGCUAGAGUGCAGGAGAGGAAGGUAGAAUUCCCCGUGUACCGGUGAAAUGCGUAGAGAUCGGGAGGAAUACCAGUGGCGAAGGCGGCCUUCUGGACUGACACUGACACUGAGGUGCGAAAGCGUGGGUAGCAAACAGGAUAAGAUACCCUGGUAGUCCACGCCGUAAACGAUGUCGACCAGCCGUUGGGUGCCUAGCGCACUUUGUGGCGAAGUUAACGCGAUAAGUCGACCGCCUGGGGAGUACGGCCGCAAGGUUAAAACUCAAAUGAAUUGACGGGGGCCCGCACAAGCGGUGGAGCAUGUGGUUUAAUUCGAUGCAACGCGAAGAACCUUACCUACUCUUGACAUCCUGCGAACUUGUGAGAGAUCACUUGGUGCCUUCGGGAACGCAGAGACAGGUGCUGCAUGGCUGUCGUCAGCUCGUGUUGUGAAUGUUGGGUUAAGUCCCGUAACGAGCGCAACCCUUGUCCUUAUUUGCCAGCGGGUAAUGCCGGGAACUCUAAGGAGACUGCCGGUGACAAACCGGAGGAAGGUGGGGACGACGUCAAGUCAUCAUGGCCCUUACGAGUAGGGCUACACACGUGCUACAAUGGCCGGUACAAAGGGUUGCGAGCUCGCGAGAGUCAGCUAAUCCCGAAAAGCCGGUCUCAGUCCGGAUCGGAGUCUGCAACUCGACUCCGUGAAGUCGGAAUCGCUAGUAAUCGUGAAUCAGAAUGUCACGGUGAAUCCGUUCCCGGGCCUUGUACACCCCGCCCGUUGGAUCCCCUCCUUAGAGUUUGAUCCUG
rnacentral:rRNA from 1 species